rnacentral:rRNA from 1 species
UACAGAGGUCCCAAGCGUUGUUCGGAUUCAUUUGGCGUAAAGGGUGCGUAGGCGGCGCGGUAAGUCGGGUGUGAAAUCUUGGAGCUUAACUCCGAAACUGCAUUCGAUACUGCCGUGCUUGAGGACUGGAGAGGAGACUGGAAUUUACGGUGUAGCGGUGAAAUGCGUAGAUAUCGUAAGGAAGACCAGUGGCGAAGGCGGGUCUCUGGACAGUUCCUGACACUGAGGCACGAAGGCCAGGGGAGCAAACGGG